rnacentral:tRNA from 1 species
GAUUUUAACUCCCACCCCUGGCUCCCAAAGCCAGAAUUCUAAAUUAAACUAUCUUCUGA